GCCUGUUCCAUCCAAAUUUGGUCUCUGUCGUUAUUGGGGGUAUUUGUGUAGGCUCCGUUAUUCUUGUUUGCAUCACAUUCCCCGCUACAUCCAUACAUGUCUCAGUAGCUAAACAGAAAAUAUAUUAGGGUGACUGAACGAACGGCCAGCUGGAAGGUUCUUUAAGACAACUCGGCACAAUCAGUUAACAAGUCCACUUAGAACAGAACAUGUCUAUGUCCAUGCUCUCCCAUCCAAAGUAAACACAUAGCUUUCCUUCUAACAGAUUUCUCUUGUAAGUGAAUAGAAAUGAUAUGGAUGUUGUACAGACAGUAAAU